GAUUGCCCCAGUAACGGCGAGUGAAGCGGCAACAGCUCAAAUUUGAAAUCUGGCCCCCAGGGCCCGAGUUGUAAUUUGCAGAGGAUGCUUUUGGUGAGGCACCUACCGAGUCCCCUGGAAUGGGGCGCCACAGAGGGUGAGAGCCCCGUAUGGUAGGACGCCGAACCUCUGUAAAGCUCCUUCGACGAGUCGAGUAGUUUGGGAAUGCUGCUCUAAAUGGGAGGUAAAUUUCUUCUAAAGCUAAAUACCGGCCAGAGACCGAUAGCGCACAAGUAGAGUGAUCGAAAGAUGAAAAGCACUUUGAAAAGAGGGUUAAAAAGUACGUGAAAUUGUUGAAAGGGAAGCGCUUGUGACCAGACUUGCGCCUGGCGGAUCAUCCAGCGUUCUCGCUGGUGCACUCCGCCAGGCUCAGGCCAGCAUCGGUUCUCGCCGGGGGACAAAGGCUUCGGGAACGUGGCUCCUUUCGGGGAGUGUUAUAGCCCGUCGCGUAAUACCCCGGCGGGGACCGACGACCGCGCUUCGGCAAGGAUGCUGGCGUAAUGGUCAUCAGCGACCCGUCUUGAAACACGGACCGAGGAGUCAAGCAUUAGUGCGAGUGUUUGGGUGUAAAACCCGCACGCGUAAUGAAAGUGAACGUAGGUGAGAGCUUCGGCGCAUCAUCGACCGAUCCUGAUGUUUUCGGAAGGAUUUGAGUAGGAGCAUUAACGCUUGGACCCGAAAGAUGGUGAACUAUACUUGAAUAGGGUGAAGCCAGAGGAAACUCUGGUGGAGGCUCGCAGCGGUUCUGACGUGCAAAUCGAUCGUCAAAUUUGAGUAUAGGGGCGAAAG
rnacentral:rRNA from 1 species